rnacentral:misc_RNA from 1 species
UCGGAAUGUCCGAACUCUGUCCGGAUUUCAAGGAUGAUUAUCUCGGAUUCCGUUUCGGAUAAAAAGGUUUUGACGUCGGAGAUCACGGUGUCGACAGGGACGGAUUUAAGGAUGCCAUGGCAGAUUCUGCGGUCUUCUUGGACGCGGAUGUCGAGGACGCGGGCGCCGAGGACGAGCUGGCGGUAGACGGAGCAGGAUUGGCAUUGGGCGAAGGGGCGGGAGACGAAACGGAUGCCGAUUUUGUCGGUGGCGGAGUCGUGGGUGCCCGGCCAGGCGAUUUGGUUGAGGCGGAGCUUUUGUGGGUUGAGGCCGGACAUCCAUGAUUUGCGGUCGGAGGGGCGGUAGUCGGAACCGGGGAAGUUGUCACCGGCGGAGUCGACGAGGUUGGCGAGGAUCUUGCGCUCGGCGGCGAUGGCCUUCCGGCGCUCUACUUGCUUGGUGAACACGGAGCCCAUCGUCGCCGGAGGGGGUGGUGGUGAUG